rnacentral:lncRNA from 10 species
AUAGGUGGUGGAGAGAGGAAUAACAACCCAGCUCCUCCAUCUAGAAAGGAGAGUAAGAACUACCAGUAGCUUAAUAGAAGACCAAGGAUCAGAAUUCCCCGAUGAAGACUGUUUGUAAGAAGAAAGAGGACAGGGUUAUAACUCAUCAGCAACUGCCUGGCAAGCCAUGCAAGAUAAGGGGACUAACAAAACUUUUCCAAAUAAUCAAAUUGGAGCUCUAGUUUGUCAAGUCCCAGCUUACUCUAAAUCUGAAGCUAACCAGAAUGAUGCCAGAGCCAAAUGCAGUGAGCUGCCAUCACCAAGUAUUCUUCCCUAACCACCAAACCACUGGGUUCCUGUAAUAUACUUCCUAUUGCCUUUAAUCCUUUAGAUAAGAAAAUAAAGACAUUUGAACGUAAAAUCUAAAGUGCAGAUAUA